GGGGCUGUGACGCAGUGGUAGCGUGUUCCAUUCGCAUAAUGUUCUACAUCCGAUGUAGAUGAUAAUGUUGGAAAAGUCGUGUGUUCGAAUCAUACCUGCUCCA